UCAGGAAGCGGGAAAUCAAGGGUGGCUUUCUUUUCACUGGAGAUGGUCAGAGUCCGCCUAAUCACUACCGUAAGAGUAGCGGUGAGUGACGUCUACAUGAUCCGGAGGGUUGAGUACAAAAUUACCAAUGUUUUUCGAAGUGGUCUUUUUUUGGAGUAAACACUAAUUUUGAGUAGAGACAAAGAUUUGGAAUGAAAAAAGAAAUAAGAUGAAGAAGAAGAUUGUUUGGUCACGAGAGAGUGAGAGAGAAGGAUGGGCUGGUUUGGGCAGGAGCUAGGCCUGGGCAUUUUAACCUGGAUCCGAAGAC
rnacentral:lncRNA from 1 species